UUCUAAUUCUCACAUUUUCACUCGCUGGCCUUCUCACUGUCUCUCUCGGUCUCUCUCUCACUUCGACCCCUCUCAAUUUCUUUCUCACUAAUGCUCGAGUAUUCCUCCUUAUUGGGCUACUGAUUUUGAUAUGUUUCCUCAGAGCAUGUGCUGUAAAAAGGCAAGUUUCUCUCUUCUUGCUUAGUAAUCAAUUUCCCCAAUUUUUAUUGACCCGAUUUUGUGUUCCCAACAUUCAAUUUUUGGGUAAAUUCUCUUCUUCUCUAUCAUUUGUCUAGUUUCCCCAAAGUUUCUUACCCUAAUUAGCAAUCACCAUCAUUUGCAAUCACCUUUUCUACCCUACUUAGAUGAUCAAUUGUUUCAAUUUUCCCCAAAUUUUAUUGCCCUAAUUUAAAAAAAAAAUUUUCUGCCCAGGACAAGGAGGGCAUCCCGGGACCAGCAGCACCUCAUCUUCACUGGCAAGCAACUCGAGGACAGCCGCAC
rnacentral:lncRNA from 1 species